CUCUUCCUCUCGCUCUCUCUCCCGCUCUGUCUCGCUCUCUUUCGUAACUCAUAUUCAGGAGGCGCCGUCUCCAUUAUUACUCGUGGUCUAGACCUUGCUGUUCUGUCUGUAGACCAAACCACAAGUGCUGAUGUAAGAGGAGAAAGAGCAGACAGUCAGGACCUACACUUGGGGGAGCAGCUCUGUGCCCUGGGCAUUCUGGGAGGACUUCUUCUCAUACUGGUUAUCUUGCUUCCACAUGGUGAAAAUUAUAUUCCCUGACUGGUUGUGUGUUCUCCGAGUUCCAGUUAGGAAAACUGCAGCUGGAUGACAAGUGCCUGCACUGUUCUUAUGAAACUUGAGCUGAGACCAGGUAAAAUGAGGCAAACAUCUUGGCUAGCAUGACUAUGGGCAAUUAACAUUUCAGAACUUGUAGUCUUAGGCGAACGUUCCACGAUUACUGGGAACUGAGAUUGACAGCAUUGCUUAGUGGUGAGGUGGUGUGUUCUGGUCUUAAAGAGCUGCGUUCAAACUCUGACCCUCCUUGCUUAGUGACUGCUGUCAGAGAAGCUGUCUACCUCUUUGUAUCCAGUCUCUUCAUCUGUAUUCUACCUAUAAUUGUAUGUUUAUUAUUAUGUAUACACUUUAAUAGUAACUUGUCUAACUCCAUUUAAAAAAAAGCUAACUGAUCUUUUUAUUGGGAUUUUAUUGCAUUCCUAAGUUAAUCUAGGGAGAACUGACAUCUUUAUAAUGCUGAAUCAUCCUGUCCAAGAACGGAGGGUCGGGGGGGAGUUCUUUCCAUUUGUUCAAAUUUAUUUUUUUGUCUUUUAGGAAUAAUUUAAAGUUUUCCUCAUUUGGGUUUUGCGUAUUUCAUGUCAUGCUUCUUCCUAACGAUUUUCUCUCUUUGUUCCCAUUGUAAAUAGGAUUUUGUUUACUGUCAUGUCCUCCGAUUGGUUAAUGUUUGUGUAUAUGAAGACUCUUGAUUUCUUACAUUUGGAUUUUUGAGCGCUCGCAGAAACUUGGGCACUGAUGAAAGUCUCUGGGCCUGCAAAGUCGGGAACCCAACACUCUGGUCUUGCCUAAGAAGACAUCGCAUUGUAACAAUUGUAAAAGAUAUUUUCAGGUGCACAUGACCUCUACUGACCCUCAUCAGGAAUUGCGGACAUGCAGACUAAGAGGUCAUGCUCCUUGUCUGAGGUUGGUUAGAGCCCUUAAUUGCAAACAGAAUCUACAAUGACUGGUUUAAGCACAAAAGGGAUUUACUAAAGGCUGUGAGGUCACUCACAGAAUCGUGCGGACUGGGAACAGGCUUUGAGACUAUGCUGCCAGGACCAAGACCCAAACCGUGCAGUGGGACUGGACAGAUGAGAACGCUGCUGUCACUGCUGCCACCACCAGAUUAAUGCCUGGGCUUCUGCUGCCAGAACCGAGGCCAAUCUCAGUGGCGAAAGCUGCAUGUAGACUAGUGAAGUGGAUGUUCUGCAGAGAGCCUGCUUUCUUGUGACUCUCACUUCCAAAUGAGAGUGCUUGAUUGGCACAGAGGGAGGCCCCGCCCUGCUUCUGGCUGCUUGGGAGGCGGGUUUCGGGUUUCGAGACAGCCGAUAAACAGGAAGUUUGAGAACUUCCUAAAAUAUAUGGGGGCUGUUUAAGAUAUUAUGAGCUGGGAUGGUGACAGAAGUUCCCGCAGGGACCCCAAGGAGCCUACAGUCUAACAGAGGAGAGAAAAGCAAACAUCUUCAGAACUGCCUGAGGGCAGAAGGCCCCAGAUAUACUCAAGAUGUUAUACGACCUAAAACAGCUGAUCCGAAACUGAAAACGUACACGCCUCUAAGAGGGCUGCUGUAAUUCUGUUUUCUCAAUGAAAAGGAAGACUUUCAAAUAAAAGCUGCAGAGUUCUCCCUCACAUGUUCCAGGAUUUUUUAGACUAUUUUUAAAACAUCGUAAGUUCACCUGUUCGACUGAGAUGCUAUCUCAUGGAUCUGGAGAGCUUUCAAGGCAGCUGUCUAGAAAAAGUAACUGCGAAGAUUUGUUCCCCACCCCUCAACUGGCUUAUGUACCCCAAUUGUUUUUAAAGACCUACUCUUUGCUCUAAGUUGCAACUUUUGAAAGAAUCAGGAAGUAAUUAUAAUUCUGAAAUUAGAAAGGCUUUUAGAAGAAAGUGGAAUGUGGUUGAAUUUAAACCACAAGCAAAAUUGAAAAGACUGGAUCUGCUGAUCCGUCUAUUACAGUGUGUGUAGUGCUCUCUGUUCCGUGUUAAAUGGGAAGCGCAUUGGACUCAGAGAGAGGAAGGGACAGCGGCACGCCCGGGCCACGCUCCUGGAGCCUGUCUGAAGCGUGUUCUGCUCUGUGCUCUUAUUUCUCUCUCGGCCAGAAGCAGAGAUGUUGCAAUGGCGCACGCAUCAGCCUUCGAGCUGUCCCGAGUUGAACUUCACCCUAACUUUUGGCAAAAACCAUGCCAAACGUGGUGCUGCUCUUCCAAACUCCACAAAUCUGGUCAUGCACGACUCUUUUUUUUUGUUUGUUCUUUUGAGUAAAUAACUAUAGUUACUAAAUGGUUUGAGGUGGGUGAACGACUUGAAGGGUAUUUAAUUGUGCUGGAAAAUACACAAAUAAAGCAAAGUUGCCUUUAGUUUGACUUCUGAGUGAAUAGAUUUCUGACACAACCCUAAAGAGCUCUCUUUACAUACAUCACCUGUGCUCAUCCUGUGGGAUCUGGAGAUUCCAUAGCUCUCCUUACACUCUCCCCCAGGGGAAAAGUAAACACCGACUCACACAAAGUCAAGGGACUGUUAACUGAAUUAUUUGAAUUGAUGCCAUGGAAGCCUUGGUGUGAAAACACAGUGUGUAUGUAGAAAGACUGGAUAUCAUUAUUUUUAUUUAAAGAGAAAAGUCAUAACUCAAAAAGGCAAAGAUGAAACUUUCACGUUAGGACAAGAUUAGAAAGUUAAAUUAUGUUGGUUGUAACAGUACUGGAAAUUAAACAGUAAAAGGCAGAUUUUUGUUUCCAGUGUAGUCAGACUAGAAUUGAAAGCACUGGUGGAGAGCGAAUCGUUCAGAUGGCUGUGUGACCUCAGAGCGCCUUGGCAGACUGACCUUCCACCUCCUGUACUAAGAGUUCUAGCCAAAAGCUACCGCCUUCUCACAACUAUGAGUUGAUGGAUGCAAAAGCCUUCAUGCUAAAAUGGAUGUGAACGAUUGCAGCAAACUCUACGUUGGGUAAGUGCUUACGCAACAUACAGUCAAAGGUUAUCUUAAGUGAAUUUAGAACUAUUACUUCAAACUUACUCAGGACGUGCAGUCUCAGGACACAUGAGGGAAAAUUUAGAGCUUUUAUUCAGUAGUUUCAUUAUUUAUGAUAAUAAUAGUAUGACUGGGAGACUAUUUUUCUUUUAUAGUUGGGUAAAGAAAGCAAUGAAAUGUUUGUGUUGUUAGAAAUAAUGCUAUUUAGUAUACAAAGGUUCAAUUAUGAAAAGAAAAAAAAUUAACUGGAAUACUAUACUAGAAUUCAAGUGGAAAUAUCAACAUGAACUCAUGAUUUAAAAAAUCCUUUUUAGUACCAUGCACUGAAAUGGCCAAGAAGUGACGUCCCUCUAGCAGCAAGAUCUGCCAAGAGCUUGUAUGUUGGGUACAAACACCACUCCUUCCACAUGGAGCCAGAGCUCUCUGGGAGACGUCCCCUGUUGGGGGCAGGAAGGUAGUGCGGGUGGGAGGCAUCUUGUGCCAGAACACACGGAAACUCUCAAAGAUGAGUGGGGUCGUAGCAGAAGGCACCUUUAGAGGGGCUUCUAUUGCCCAAAGGAAUGCCAUCUGAGCCAACAAGAAUGAUAAUGGGUGAAGAGGUCAAAAGGUACAACCUUCCAGUUAUAAAGUAAGAACUGGGAUGGAAUGCACAGCAUGGUGACUGCAGUUACUAAUACUUUAUUGCAUAUUUGAAAGUUGUUAGAGUCCUUCCAAAAAGUCCUUGUCACAAGAAAAACCAUUUUUGUAACUACAUAUGGUGAUGGAUGUUAUCUAAACUUAUUGUGGUGUUGUGGUGAUUGCUUCGCAAUAUAGACAAACUUCAAAUCAUUAUGUUGUACCCCUGAAAUCUCAUGUUAUAUGUCAAUUAUACCUCAGUAAAAAUGAUAAAACAAAAUUUAUCAUUUACUUAAAGCUUGACCCAAAAUUAAAUCUUUCACAAAUCCUGAUACUUACCUUUAACCUCUACGUGUUCACACUGGGUCACAAGAUCAAGGGUCCCAACAUAAAGCCCCAUCUUCUGCAUGAACCCCUGUUCCAGGACUCCACUUCACACUGAUUUUCUUGUCUCUAAACUCUGAUUAAAUUUAUAAUCAUCAAUCACACAACUGAGAACAAGUUAAUGUCCAUUUUCCGUGGAUGUAGCUUUCACUCUCCACUAACAUUUCACUCCCCAUCCUGUAGGAGACAGGGAGCCAUUGCAAACAUUGUUUCUUUUGGUUAAUACUCUCCCAAUGUCUAAAAAAGUGAAAAAUGCACGAUAAGAUUGUUUUUCUUUUAAAAAUAAGUUUAUUCCAGCUGUAAAACUCAUAUCUGCUUACUUUGAAAAAAAUAAACGCGAGCUUACAAAAAAAACAUAAAAAUCACCUUAAAA